rnacentral:rRNA from 1 species
GACAGAGGGUGCAAACGUUGCUCGGAAUUACUGGGCGUAAAGCGCGUGUAGGCUGACCGGAAAGUCGGGCGUGAAAGCCCUGGGCUCAACCCAAGAACUGCACUCGAAACUCCCGGUCUAGAGUGGUGGAGAGGGAAGUGGAAUUCCUGGUGUAGAGGUGAAAUUCGUAGAUAUCAGGAGGAACACCAGUGGCGAAGGCGGGUCUCUGGGCCGUAACUGACGCUGAGGAGCGAAAGCAUGGGGAGCGAACAGG